CUUGAGGGACAGACACGGAUGUACAAAGACAAAAAUAUGAACAAAUAUUUGAGUAAUUUAUUUGGACCUGGAAGUAUGGCGGUUUCCACUCCUAGACCUAAGAGAAUGGACAGUCUGGCUGUCAAUCACUGCAGGCCCUCCAAGCUGACGUCUGAAGGCGGGGCCAUUGAAGGAUGGCAAGCACCCGGCAAUGAAGCCCUACCACGUGAGCAGGCCGAUGACGGUUUGGAUUGUGCAAUGAGGCUUCCGUAGACCGCUCCCCUCAGUGAUGACAAAAUAUGGCGGGUACUGUGGAUAUAUGGCGGGUACUGUGGAUAUAUGGCGGUUGACAAUGCUCCGAUCUCACAAGUGCUGCAUGAUUGGGUCCUCUGGCCCCACCAACCACUUUGAGAAAUUGCUCUGGAUGAGGGAAAGAGGAAGUUUGCCCCAUCCACUCGUGUUGUGAGUUUCCAAGUGGCCUAAUUUUCCUGCAGUGGUCCCAAGCUGACCUUCCACAGGUAAGUCUCUUUGUAGAUUUGUACAAUCAUCACCUCCCUCAGGAUCUGUGAUGGGAACGUCCAGUUCUGGUCAGCCGGUGGGCCCGUAAUGAGAGGAGAGGACCCUGAACCAAUCGUCAAGGCCAGCCAUACAGAUGUCGCCGAGACCGUGUCACCCAUCGUGUUUCGUUCACAAUAAGUUUCCAGUAUGUGAGUCUGAAAGACCCUCGGCCCUUUCUUCCUGUCAUCUCUGAGCCUCAGCUUCCACAUCUGCAAAAUGGAAAUGACACCUUGCUCUUGCUCUCAGGCGUGGUGUGAAAAUCAAGCGUGAUCAUCUUUAUGAAGUGCUCAGCACACAGGAGGGCCAGCAACUAUUCUCAGAGGGUCUUGGGCAUCUCUUUGGAAAUGGACCUCUUUAACUCUGCUGUG